GCAAGUCGAGGGGUAAGGCUCAUUUCGGUGAGUACACGACCGGCGCACGGGUGCGUAACGCGUAUGCAACCUACCCUUAACAGAGGGAUAGCCCCGAGAAAUCGGGAUUAAUACCUCAUAACACUGUGGUGUGGCAUCACAUUACAGUUAAAACUCCGGUGGUUAAGGAUGGGCAUGCGUGACAUUAGUUUGUUGGUAAGGUAACGGCUUACCAAGACAAUGAUGCUUAGGGGGUCUGAGAGGAUAGUC
rnacentral:rRNA from 1 species